rnacentral:lncRNA from 1 species
AAACGCUCCCCCUAUAUAUUUUCCGUCUUCCCCUGCAGUCUCCCAGAUUAGGUUUUCUCUAAUUUUCAAAAUUUUCAUUUACAGUAUCAGUAGUUGUUCGUAUGCGCAGCCCUUAAGAUCGCCUUCCACUGCCAUCCAUGGAAGCGUUUCGAGUCAUAGCAGCGCUAUAUCAAUUUAAUACAUGCUCACUCAUACUAUAUAUACAUUUUUGUGUUAUAUAUGUUUUUGUGUGAGUGUGUUUUAUGGGUUUCACCUUAAGGGUUUUCCUUUUGGGGAACCCGUUUAUCCCAUCUGGUGUAAUUGGCAUUUCAAAUUGAUUUGGAUCCAUAAUUCUCAUAUAGUUUUCGAACUCCGUCUGAUUUUGUAAAUUAUAGAGUUUUAUAGAUCUAAAAUUACAUUACGAAUGCCUCCGUUAAGAUGGGAGACACCCUUCGAAUUUUACCAUUUCUGAUUCUUUUGAUUAUUGAUUGUUUGUGGCAAGGAUGAUGAUACAAUUAGAUGCCUGAGAGGUGAAUAUCUCUUUGAAUUUAAUUAACGAGGCUUAUUGAUAUCCUGACUUGCCGAUGUUUACAAAAAAAUUCUCUCUCUCUCUCUGGUACUUGUAUUUUGGUACUGAUUUCUGGUGGCAGGGAUGAUGAAAUCAUAAUACAAUUAGAGGGUAAAAUGAAAGACCCUUCUCCUCCUAGUGGCCAGGCUAAUGCAACACAAAGACCCUUCUCCUCCUAGUGGCCAGGCUAAUGCAACACAAAGACCCUUCUCCUCCUAGUGGCCAGGCUAGUGCAACUCGCAACUAGUAAGAAUUCGUUAUCGAGGACCGAUGCCGCACCAAAACUGGUAAGUUGAGAUCCAAAAUGGCAAAAAGGCACAGGUUGGGGACAAAGUUACGAAUCAAUAGAUUGGAUCAAAAUAGAAGAUGCGAAGUUUUGAAAACAUUUAUUACUUAAAAAGGGCCAAUAUUUAGCCCAUUGCUUUCACGAAGUCCGAAUCCAGAAUAAACCCUAAUUCACAUUCAUCUUUCCCAUCCAUCUCUAUUUAUUCGUCGCUCGUCUUCUUUGUUUGAAAACCCUAGCUCUGCUAGGUUCUCUUUUGGUGUGUAUAUGAUUUUGUUUUUCCAUUGAAUUGUGUUAUGCGUCUGAUAGAAGACAAGAAAUUAUUGCGAGCAAGUUCAGCUUCUUGACUGGAUCCCGGUAAAAUCAACGAUCCAGCCAAUUAUUUUACUCAUAACUUGCGAUAAUAAUUUGCCAGUAUCACUCUCCUGAAUUUGUUACUGAAAUUUCAGGCCCUUUAUCCUACUGGCACAUUUUUUCUAAUUUUCUGCCUUAUAUUUUCUUUAUCCAAAAUUUGUGAGAUGUGAUAUUAGAAUUCGUAAUUUUUGGUAGAUUGUAGAUGAUUUGGUGUUACUGGUUGAAUUGAAUUGUGAGCAAACGCACUCUGUCCCUAAACCGUCCAGCAAUGGGCUAAUGUUUUGAGGCAAUUUCUUCGUUUGCGAAAUUAAUAAUGUUCCAAUUUACUCGUCCAUUCGAUCUGUAUUUCGUGAUCUCUAUGGGCACAUGACUGGACUACAUAUAAGAGAAUCAUUUUUAUCACAUUUUUUUACUGUUGCAGAGUAAAUUCCUGACAGCGAGACC